AACGAACGCUGGCGGCGUGGAUAAGACAUGCAAGUCGAACGAUCACUAUUGGGUAGCAAUAUUCGGUAGUGGGAGUGGCGCAAGGGUGCGUAACACGUGGGUAAUUUGCCGUAAAGUCUGGGAUAACUUGCUGAAAGGCGAGCUAAUACCGGAUGUGAUUGCUGGAGGGCAUCCUCUGGCAGUUAAAGUCGGGGACCGUAAGGCCUGACACUUUUCGAUAAGCCCGCGGCCUAUCAGCUAGUUGGUGAGGUAACGGCUCACCAAGGCUAAGACGGGUAGCUGGUCUGAGAGGACGACCAGCCUCACUGGAACUGAGACACGGUCCAGACACCUACGGGUGGCAGCAGUCGAGAAUUUUUCACAAUGGGCGAAAGCCUGAUGGAGCGACGCCGCGUGGGGGAUGAAGGGCUUCGGCUCGUAAACCCCUGUCAUUCGCGAACAAAGGUGCCGGCCGUAACAUGCCGUCGCCUGAUAGUAGCGGAAGA
rnacentral:rRNA from 1 species